GGGGUGUCGGGACAUUGGGGUGUCGGGAUAUUGGGACAUUGGGGUGCUGGGAUAUUGGGGUGUUGGGACAUUGGGGUGUUGGGAUAUUGGGGUGUUGGGAUAUUGGGGUGUUGGGAUAUUGGGACAUUGGGGUGUCAGGACAUUGAGGUGUUGGGACAUUGGGGUGUUGGGACAUUGGGGUGUCGGGAUAUUGGGACAUUGGGGUGCUGGGAUAUUGGGGUGUUGGGAUAUUGGGACAUUGGGGUGUCAGGACAUUGGGGUGUUGGGAUAUUGGGGUGUUGGGAUAUUGGGACAUUGGGGUGUUGGGACAUUGGGGUGUUGGGACAUUGGGGUGUCGGGAUAUUGGGACAUUGGGGUGCUGGGAUAUUGGGGUGUUGGGACAUUGGGGUGUCGGGACAUUGGGCUGUCGGGGCAGUGAGGCACAGGAACAUUGGGGUGUUGGGACAUUGGGGUGCUGGGACAUUGGGGUGUUGGGACAUUGGGACAUUGGGGUGUUGGGACAUUGGGGUGUCGGGAUAUUGGGGUGUCGGGACAUUGGGACAUUGGGGUGUCAGGACAUUGGGGUGUUGGGACAUUGGGGUGUCGGGACACUGGUCUGUCGGGGCAGGGAGGCACAGGGACAUUGGGGUGUCGGGACAUUGGGGUGUUGGGACAUUGGGGUGUUGGGACAUUGGGGUGUUGGGACAUUGGGGUGCUGGGACACUGGUCUGUCGGGGCAGGGAGGCACAGGGACAUUGGGGUGUCGGGACAUUGGGGUGCUGGGACACUGGGCUGUCGGGGCAGGGAGGCACAGGAACACCGGGCUGUCGGGGCACUGGAGAGCCGCUCCGGGUGUCGCGGGGCUGGCGCUGUCCCUCACCGGGUGACCUUGAAGACGCGCAGCAGGCGCACGCAGCGCAGCACGGAGAUGCCGAGCGGCUCCAUCGCCCCGCGCUCCACCAGCGCCGUCUCCAGAACCCCCCCGCACACCACGAAACAAUCGAAGCGGUUGAAGAAACUGGCGAAGUAACAGGAGGGACCCAGCGCGUAGAGCUUCAGCACCAUCUCGGCGGCGAACAGCGACAGCAGCGCCUUGUUCGCGU
rnacentral:lncRNA from 1 species